AACUUUCAGCAACGGAUCUCUUNGGCUCUCGCAUCGAUGAAGAACGCAGCGAAAUGCGAUAAGUAAUGUGAAUUGCAGAAUUCAGUGAAUCAUCGAAUCUUUGAACGCACCUUGCGCCCUUUGGCUAUUCCGAAGGGCAUGCCUGUUUGAGUAUCAUG
rnacentral:rRNA from 1 species